rnacentral:sRNA from 1 species
CAACAGUUAGGGAAAUGAUGCUAGAGCACUUUAAAAAUCAGCAGGACAACCCUGAGGCAAACUGGAAGUUGCCUGAAGAUUUUGCUGUGGUGUUUGGAGAAGCAGAGGGUGAACUUGCUGUUGGAGGAGUCUUCUUGAGGAUCUUUAUUGCACAGCCAGCCUGGGUUCUAAGAAAGCCUAGAGAAUUUCUUAUUGCACUGUUAGAAAAAUUAACUGAGCUCCUAGAGAAGAACAAUCCUCAUGUAAGCUUCAGUCAAAAGCAAAACAUUUCAAAGACUUGGCUAACUAGACUGAUGGUGUUUCUCUUACAACCUUAUUCACAAAGACCAUGAAUUAGGAAUUGGCCGGCUCUUUCAAUAUAGCAGCCACAUUUAAAUUCAGAUAUGCCCCUCGAUCAUUUUUUUGCCAUGUUCAAAAGUGAAGCUCUUUAGUAUGUUUAUGAACCAAAGUUAGAGAUCUCUAUAUUGAGAGGAUGCCAUUUCUAACAAUUACAGAAGCCCUAAAAGAAGGUUUUUACUGUCCAUCUCUAAUGAAUAUGUAAUUU